CUUGACACUGAGGACACCAAGCAAAAUCAAAAAGUUAGGAAGAAUAUUUUCUGGUAGACUGAUACAUUUCUCCUUAAAAAUUUGGAAAAAGUUCGUGAUGAAGAAGCUACCUGGGCCUGAAGAUAUCUUUUCUGGGGGCUGACAAGUCACGUUUUUUCCUCCUCUGAAUUUGUAAUCAAAUUGAAAAUGCAACAAGCAUCUGUUAGGAAUAAAAAAAGUCAUCACUGGCAUUUUGACUGGAUUGAAAACCUUAGGAGAAGGAACAGAGAGCAUGGUGGCUCUCUAUUUUUCAUCAUAUUGAAUGUAAACUGUCUGUGAUCUUCUCUGCUUC